GGAAUGUCUUGCUGCGCUAAAGACCAUGAUGCCAAACGCAGCGGACGAGCGGGAUGAGCAGGAUGACGUUCCUGCCUAUCAGGCUGACCUUUCCGGCGCCCCAGCACUGCCGGCCUUUGAAGCACCCCAGUUGAGUCCGGACUUUGUGAGGAGGAUGUACUGCAGUCUUAACAUCAUGCAGGCUUCCGUCUUCUAUGCCGUACGCAACUGGUGUUUGCAGCGCGUUUCUGAUCGCGACCUUGAGCCCUUUCAUUAUUUCAUCUCAGGGGGAGCUGGAUGUGGCAAGUCGCAUGUCAUCAAGUGCAUUUACCAGGAGGCCACCAAGAUUUUUCGGCAGCUUCCUGGCAUUCGUACCGAUGCGGAUUUGUCUCAGCCCACGGUUCUGUUGACGUCAUUUACCGGCACAGCUGCGUUCAAGAUUUCUGGGAAAACCUUGCACUCGGUCUUGAAGCUCCCAAGAAGUUUGAGGCCUCCAUAUCAAGGACUCGGCAACGCGCUGGACACCUUGCGGGCGAGUCUUUCCAACGUGCAGAUUUUAAUCAUUGAUGAAAUAUCAAUGGUCUCCAAGGAUCUUUUUGCGUAUGUCCACUGGCGGUUCCAGCAAGUCAAGGGCAACCGGAAGACCUUUGGAGGGAUCUCUGUGCUUGUAGUUGGGGACUUUUACCAGCUGCCACCUCUUGGAAGGGCCAAACCCCUCUGUGUGUAUGAGGAUAAUGUCCUUGACCUCUGGACCAACUUUCAGUUGGUCCGACUUACGGAGAUCAUGCGACAGAAGGAGGACCUGACCUUUGCCCAGCUUUUGAACAGGGUAAGGGAAAAGCGGAAGGAGGAGCCCUUGUAUGAAAGUGACCGGGCUUUACUGCAGCAGGCUACUGUCGAAACAUCGCAGUGUCACACCAGUACGCUCCACAUUUUUGCAACCAAUAAGGAGGUUGACGAACACAACCGUGCAACUGUGGCAGCUUUGAAACUGAAUGUGGUCGACAUUCCGGCAGAAAACUACAGAAAAGACCCCCGGACGGGACAAUUGGUCAUCGUGUCCAACAUGAUAACCGGGAGGAAAAGAGAUCUGCCCGACAACCUGCAAGCCGCUGUAGGAGCACGAGUCAUGAUCAUCCGGAACUUGGACAUUGAGGAUGGUCUCGUGAACGGCACCUUCGGGACCAUCAUGAACAUUGUCCGUGGACCACAGGGCGCUGUUACUUUUCUUGGCAUUUCUUUGGACAACCCUGGAGCAGGCCUGAAAUUUCGGAAGAAACUUCAGGGAUCCGGGGACGAUUUGGCCUACAUAGAAAAGUCAGAGGAAAGUUUAAGCAUCAAAGGACUGGUGAGGCGGCAAUUCCCGGCAAAACUGGCCUUUGGAUGCACGGCGCACAAAGUGCAAGGCAUGACGCUAUCUUCUGCGGUCGUAUCUCUGAAGCGCGUGUUUGAACCUGGAAUGGCCUACGUCGCUCUAAGUCGCACGACCUCGCUCCAGGGACUGAAGAUCAUGGACUUGGAUGAGAAGAAAAUAUAUGCUGAUCCCACCAUUGCUUUGGCAAUGGACAGCAUGUUGCACGCUUCUUUCUUGUCUGUCAGACCGCUGUUGCACUUUGCACAAGGGCCUUCUCCGACUUUGAAGAUUGUCCACCAUAACACAGAGGGCCUCGCGUGUCACAUGGAGGACAUCAAAUCUCAUCAUGAGCUGAGACUGGCUGAUGUGCUUUGUUUGACGGAAACCCAUUUGUCUGGUUCCAUCUCGCCGCACUUGCAGCUGGAGGGCUACGCUGUUUUUGUACGGAACAGACGUGUUUCCUACUUAAACAGGCCAGACAUGGCUGCGAAAGAGGGAGGCGGAGUUGCAGCCUACUGUCGGAGGGAACUUCAAGGCCAGCCCCUUCGGUUUGUCCAGAAUGUGCCAGACCUUGAAUUCUUGGUGGUUAAAGUCAUGGUGCCGAUCACGGCUGUGGUGGCUACUGUUUAUCGACCACCGAACUUGAGUCUGGGCACAUUUCUACCUAAUUUGACAAACCUCUUGGACACCUUGGCAAUGAUGGAAAGCCACCCCAUUGUUGUUUGUGGCGACUUCAACGAGGACCUGCUUUCGAAACGUAAGAAGCCUAUACUGGAGUUGUUUGAGUCCAGAGGCUAUACUCAGCUCAUCGGCAAGGCAACAACUGGCAAGCAGACACUGAUUGAUCACAUUUACAUUUCUCAACCGCAGUCUUGCAUUCAGUCAGGUGUUCUGCAUUCUUACUACAGUUACCACAGUCCGGUGUACUGUAUCUUAACAUCUUUGUAGGCCCUGGUCUGGUCUACACAUGCUGUCUUGUCCCCAAUGAACAUUUGCUUGCAAUGACCAUGUGGCCAUUUCUUCCCCUCCAUCCAUCCACGCCGUCUCACAUACGUAAGUACUCCGUGCUUGUGACCUGAAGGCUAGGUAUGCUGUACCUCUGCUCAUGGGCUGCCUUUCAGAAAUGCUGCUGCACAUGCUUUAGCCCCAACCGGAAGAUGUUGCUUUAUUAUAUGUAGUAGAUACAUACGCUAGUCAGAAUUACUGUAUUAUCUCUGAACGGGCAGUGUUGGCAUAGUCAUGUUCUCCAUGUUCUCAAUGUUCUCCCUAUUCCUGAAACUUCAUGUCACUUAUGAUGGAACAUUCUAAUAACUUGUCUCUCUCUCUCUCUCUCUCUCCCCUGUAGUAGGCACUAUUGCAUGAAUAGCCUGUUUGAGGCUGUUAUGUUCUACUCGGUCAUAGUAUUACUUUCAGCUUUUUCAAUUACUGUACUGACUUGUUACUAACUUGUCUCUCUUUCUCUCUCCCCUGUAGUAGGCACUGCUGCAUUGAAGACAUGAGAACAGUUAUUGGUAUCAGCGUUGCUGAUAUGUAGUCAUCGGACCGCUUUUUUUUCCGCAAUAUAUAAUAUAAAAGUAUAUACUGUUUGGGUGUGUGUGUGUAUAUACAGUAUGUAUAUGACAGUUACUAAUUUAUUUGACUAACUUGUCUCUCUCUCCCCUGUAGUAGGCACUGCUGCACAAAGAGCUGAGAACAGCAAAGCUCAAAGAUUUGUAUUAGUGGCAGUACAUUUUACACAAUAUAUAACAUGUAUAAAGUGUAUAUGUAUAUGACAGUUACUGAUAACAUUUGACUAACUUGUCUGUCUUUCUCUCCCCUGUAGUAGGCGCUGCUGCGUGAAAAGCAAAGCUCAUAGAUUUGUAGUAGUCGCAGUACUUUUCCGCAAUAUGUCACGUGGAGUCUAUAUAUUGGGGAUGCUCAGCAUAUGAAUAUCCCAGCUGACUUCCUGUGUGGAUAAAAAGCUGAUAGUGUCAGAUUUGUGAUUUGUGUGUUUUACAGCUACAGAGGAGAACAGGUUCAACUCGCAUUCUGAUACCAACUGCAGGACAUGACAGAAAAGGGAAAGGACAAUCCUUUACACAAACAUUUCCCGGACGUGUUAAUACUUCCUGUUCCUGUUUUAAUACGUAGUUACCUACCACAUACAUAUGUUCACUAUGCCUUUUUGUUCUCAAGCGUUUGCACCUUUAUGUAUAAAGACCAUUAUUAUGCAUAAUCAUGCUGUACCAAACAUUUUUCUAUUGUAACCUGAACGGUCGAGACAGACGGCUGCCCCACUGAGCCUGGGUUCUGUCCAAGGUUUCUUCCCAAGUGGGAGUUUUUCCUUGCCUCCGUUGCCAGGUGCUUGCUCAUGUGGGUUUCUGUUGUUCAUUUAUGAUAAACUUGAUAGACCAAACUAAUGAUGAUGAUAAUAAUAAUGUGAACCAAAGUGCCUCGAGAUCACUUGUUUUGUUGUGAGUUGGUGCGAUAUGUCAUUGAACGCUUCUUUUAAUUACUGCUGUUUUUUUUUCUGAAAUAUUUGAUGUGCCUUGGGCCGCUGACCUAAACUGUUGAGUUACAUACGGGACAUGUUGCCUUGCUACAUGAAGUGUUUGUCAUUGAUUUUAUCUUUCUAUAUUACAGAAUAUUAUACAUCACAAUACUGUUCAUAACUGGUGUAAUUGUUGACAUUUUGACUUCAAGAAUUUAAGGCUUUGUUGCAUCUUGCUGUGGUUCCUUUUU